UUUUUAGGAAAUAAAUAUAUUCUAAACAAAGAAUGUAGACAAUAAAGAAACAAAUAUAUUAUCAAAAAGUUAAAAUCACAUUCGCAUCAAGUCGUCACACCAACAUAUAUUCAGGAGCUCUGCUCAAGAUGAUUAUGCAUAUUUAUCCUGCAAUUGGGUGUCGUACUAGACAGAUACACUUCUCCUCAAGUAACAAUGACACAAGGAA
rnacentral:lncRNA from 1 species